rnacentral:rRNA from 1 species
CCUACGGGAGGCAGCAGUGAGGAAUAUUGGUCAAUGGACGCGAGCCUGAACCAGCCAAGCCGCGUGCAGGAAGACGGCCCUAUGAGUUGUAAACCGCUUUUGUCCGGGGGCAAACGCCGCCACGUGUAUCGUUCCGAAAGUAUCCUACGAAUAAGCAUCGGCUAACUCCGUGCCAGCAGCCGCGGUAAUACGGAGGAUUCAAGCGUUAUCCGGAUUUAUUGGGUUUAAAGGGUGCGUAGGCGGUCGGAUAAGUUAGAGGUGAAAUUCAGAGGCUCAACUUCGGAAUGGCCUCUGAUACAGUUCGUCUAGAGAGUAGUUGAGGUAUGCGGAAUGUAUGGUGUAGCGGUGAAAUGCUUAGAGAUCAUGCAGAACACCGAUUGCGAAGGCAGCUUACCAGGCUACUUCUGACGUUGAUGCACGAAAGCGUGGGGAGCGAACAGGAUUAGAUACCCUGGUAGUC